rnacentral:rRNA from 1 species
UGGCGGACGGGUGAGUAACGCGUGGGUAACCUGCCCUGUACAGGGGGAUAACAGUCAGAAAUGGCUGCUAAUACCGCAUAAGCGCACAGAACCGCAUGGUUCCGUGUGAAAAACUCCGGUGGUAUAAGAUGGACCCGCGUUGGAUUAGCUAGUUGGCAGGGCAGCGGCCUACCAAGGCGACGAUCCAUAGCCGGCCUGAGAGGGUGAACGGCCACAUUGGGACUGAGACACGGCCCAGACUCCUACGGGAGGCAGCAUG